GAUUAAGUUAUUAAGGGCGCACGGUGGAUGCCUUGGCACUAGAAGCCGAUGAAGGACGUUACUAACGACGAUAUGCUUUGGGGAGCUGUAAGUAAGCUUUGAUCCAGAGAUUUCCGAAUGGGGAAACCCAGCAUGAGUUAUGUCAUGUUAUCGAUAUGUGAAUACAUAGCAUAUCAGAAGGCACACCCGGAGAACUGAAACAUCUUAGUACCCGGAGGAAGAGAAAGAAAAUUCGAUUCCCUUAGUAGCGGCGAGCGAAACGGGAAGAGCCCAAACCAACAAGCUUGCUUGUUGGGGUUGUAGGACACUCUAUACGGAGUUACAAAGGACGACAUUAGACGAAUCAUCUGGAAAGAUGAAUCAAAGAAGGUGAUAAUCCUGUAGUCGAAAAUGUUGUCUCUCUUGAGUGGAUCCUGAGUACGACGGAGCACGUGAAAUUCCGUCGGAAUCUGGGAGGACCAUCUCCUAAGGCUAAAUACUCUCUAGUGACCGAUAGUGAACCAGUACCGUGAGGGAAAGGUGAAAAGCACCCCGGAAGGGGAGUGAAAUAGAACCUGAAACCGUGUGCUUACAAGUAGUCAGAGCCCGUUAAUGGGUGAUGGCGUGCCUUUUGUAGAAUGAACCGGCGAGUUACGAUUUGAUGCAAGGUUAAGCAGUAAAUGUGGAGCCGUAGCGAAAGCGAGUCUGAAUAGGGCGUUUAGUAUUUGGUCGUAGACCCGAAACCAGGUGAUCUACCCUUGGUCAGGUUGAAGUUCAGGUAACACUGAAUGGAGGACCGAACCGACUUACGUUGAAAAGUGAGCGGAUGAACUGAGGGUAGCGGAGAAAUUCCAAUCGAACCUGGAGAUAGCUGGUUCUCUCCGAAAUAGCUUUAGGGCUAGCCUCAAGUGAUGAUUAUUGGAGGUAGAGCACUGUUUGGACGAGGGGCCCCUCUCGGGUUACCGAAUUCAGACAAACUCCGAAUGCCAAUUAAUUUAACUUGGGAGUCAGAACAUGGGUGAUAAGGUCCGUGUUCGAAAGGGAAACAGCCCAGACCACCAGCUAAGGUCCCAAAAUAUAUGUUAAGUGGAAAAGGAUGUGGCGUUGCCCAGACAACUAGGAUGUUGGCUUAGAAGCAGCCAUCAUUUAAAGAGUGCGUAAUAGCUCACUAGUCGAGUGACACUGCGCCGAAAAUGUACCGGGGCUAAACAUAUUACCGAAGCUGUGGAUUGUCCUUUGGACAAUGGUAGGAGAGCGUUCUAAGGGCGUUGAAGCAUGAUCGUAAGGACAUGUGGAGCGCUUAGAAGUGAGAAUGCCGGUGUGAGUAGCGAAAGACGGGUGAGAAUCCCGUCCACCGAUUGACUAAGGUUUCCAGAGGAAGGCUCGUCCGCUCUGGGUUAGUCGGGUCCUAAGCUGAGGCCGACAGGCGUAGGCGAUGGAUAACAGGUUGAUAUUCCUGUACCACCUAUAAUCGUUUUAAUCG
rnacentral:rRNA from 1 species